AGAGUUUGAUCAUGGCUCAGGAUGAACGCUAGCGGCAGGCCUAAUACAUGCAAGUCGAACGAGGUUUAAUAGCAAUAUUAAACUUAGUGGCGCACGGGUGCGUAACGCGUAUGCAACUUACCUUCAACUGGGGAAUAGCCCCUCGAAAGAGGGAUUAAUACCCCAUAGUAAUUAGAUAUCGCAUGGUAUUUAGUUUAAAGCUACGGCGGUUGAAGAUGGGCAUGCGUGAUAUUAGUUUGUUGGUGAGGUAACGGCUCACCAAGACUUCGAUGUCUAGAGGUUCUGAGAGGAUGAUCCCCCACACUGGUACUGAGACACGGACCAGACUCCUACGGGAGGCAGCAGUAAGGAAUAUUGGUCAAUGGACGAAAGUCUGAACCAGCCAUGCCGCGUGCAGGAUGACUGCCCUAUGGGUUGUAAACUGCUUUUGUACGGGAAUAAACCCAGAUACGUGUAUCUGGCUGAAUGUACCGUAAGAAUAAGGAUCGGCUAACUCCGUGCCAGCAGCCGCGGUAAUACGGAGGAUCCAAGCGUUAUCCGGAUUCAUUGGGUUUAAAGGGUGCGUAGGUGGACUUGUAAGUCAGUGGUGAAAUCCUGCAGCUUAACUGUAGAACUGCCAUUGAUACUGCAAGUCUUGAGUGUGUUUGAAGUGGGCGGAAUGUGUCAUGUAGCGGUGAAAUGCUUAGAUAUGACACAGAACACCGAUUGCGUAGGCAGCUCACUAAGCCACAACUGACACUGAGGCACGACAGCGUGGGGAUCAAACAGGAUUAGAUACCCUGGUAGUCCACGCCGUAAACUAUGAUUACUCGAUGUUGGCGAUACACAGUCAGCGUCUAAGCUAAAGCG
rnacentral:rRNA from 1 species